rnacentral:tRNA from 1 species
GGCUGGGUGGCUCAGUGGGUUGAGCAUCUGACCUUGGCUCAGAUCAUGAUCUUGCAGUUUGUGAGUUCGAGCCCCGCCUCAGGCU